GUGAAGAAGGCCUUUUGGUUGUAAAGCACUUUAAGCAGUGAAGAAGACUCCAUGGUUAAUACCCAUGGACGAUGACAUUAGCUGCAGAAUAAGCACCGGCUAACUCUGUGCCAGCAGCCGCGGUAAUACAGAGGGUGCAAGCGUUAAUCGGAAUUACUGGGCGUAAAGGGAGCGUAGGUGGCUCGAUAAGUCAGAUGUGAAAUCCCCGGGCUCAACCUGGGAACUGCAUCUGAUACUGUUGAGCUAGAGUAUGUGAGAGGAAGGUAGAAUUCCAGGUGUAGCGGUGAAAUGCGUAGAGAUCUGGAGGAAUACCAUGGCGAAGGCAGCCUCUGGCAUAAUACUGACCUGAGGCUCGAAAGCGGGGUAGCAAACAGGAUAGAUACCCUGGUAGUCACGCCGUAAACGAUGUUACUAGUCGUUGGGUCCUUGAGGACUUAGUGAGCAGCUAACGCAAUAAUAGACCGCCUGGGGAGACGGCCGCAAGGUUAAACUCAAAUGAAUUGACGGGGCCCGCACAAGCGUGGAGCAUGUGGUUUAUUCGAUGCAACGCGAAAACCUUACCUGGUCUUACAUAUCUAGAAUCCUCAGAGAUGCGGGAGUGCUUCGGGAAUUAGAAUCAGGUGCUGCAUGGCUUCGUCAGCUCGUGUCGGAGAUGUUGGGUUAAGCCCGCAACGAGCGCAACCUUGUCCUUAGUUACAGCGGGUUAAGCCGGGAACUCUAAGGAUACUGCC
rnacentral:rRNA from 1 species